AUAAAAUAUAGAGAUACGAUUAUAAUUUUGCCUUUAUCAAAAGCUUUAAUUUUUUUAAAAAAAAAAAUGAAAAAUUACCUCCACAGAUGGUAAUUGGGGAUCGAACGGCUUGAAAAGCUUUUGUAGGCACAUCUCUCUGAGCUCUCUUUGACAAUUAUCUUCUUCCUUCUCGUAAUGUAAAAGUCUCUUCUCUCUCUCAACUGUAACAGAUGGUACUAAUGUUUUGACUUCCUUAGCUGCCUAUACAAACAAACAAAAAUCAACAACAGAGCCGGUAAUAUAACUCUGCUCAUUGCUUGUCAAUGGACAUUUACCGCUUACCAAGCAAUAACAGUACAUGACCACAUGAUUGGAAAAGCCGCUCCUUCAGUUUCUCUUCUCUUUCUUGAUUAUCAAGUGGCUUAAAGCAAGAAUCAAGAGGUGGAGGUGGUUGUGCUGCUGACGGGUGGAGAUGAACAAUAGUGCAGGCAUUUCAAUACCAGGGGGAGGAGCAGGAGGAUCAGCAGCAGCAACAAGUUCAUGGGUGUCACCAUCAUCAGUCUCAACAUCUGGGAAGAGGAUACAAAGGGAAAUGGCUGAGCUUAGCAAUGAUCUACCUCCCGAUUGCUCUGCUGGUCCCAUGGGUGACAAUCUCUACCACUGGGUCUCCACCAUUGUUGGGCCCCCAGGUACACCGUACCAAGGUGGUAUAUUUUUCCUUGACAUAACAUUUCCAAGUGAUUAUCCAUUCAAACCUCCAAAGGUAGUAUUUAAAACUCGUAUCUACCAUUGUAAUGUCGAUUCUGCUGGCAACGUUAGUGUGCAUAUCUUGAAAGAUGGUUGGAGUCCAGCUCUUACAAUUUCUGAAGUGCUACUUGCAAUAAGAUCAAUUUUCAUUCACCCUGACCCUUGAGAAUGAAGCCUCAAAAGCUAGUGAUUGAGGUUGGAGAUCCGAAGUUCAUAUAAACUCCACAUUGAAAUCAACUUCCCACCAUGCUUCUCCCAAGACAAUCCUCUUCUCCCUGGCAUUGCCCAUUUAUAUUUGGCAGACAAAGCAAAACAUGAUGAACUAGCUGCUGAGUGGACGAUGCGAUUUGCCAAGUGAGUUGUUGGUAAGGAGCCCUUCAGUAACAAUUUUUCUUAUCUUUACAUGCAUUUUAAUAGCAUUUUGUAAAUUUUGUGUGGAAGCUUGAUGGACUGAACAAACAUUAAACAUUUGAUAAUGGCUAAAGUGAUCUCAUUCCAUACAUUACAUAAACUUAAGUUACAAAGUAUGUUUUUCUAUUAAGUUGUAUGGCAUAUGGCAGAUCUCUUAUAGAUGCAA